rnacentral:pre_miRNA from 1 species
UAAGUACACCCUCCGUCCGGAAAUACUUGUCAUUGAAAUGGAUGUAUCUAGAUGUAUUUUAGUUCUAGAUACAUCCAUUUUCAUCCAUUUUGAUGACAAGUAUUUCCGGACGGAGGGAGUAACUC